rnacentral:tRNA from 2 species
GGGGAUAUAGCUCAGCUGGCUAGAGCACCGGCUUUGCAAGCCGGGUGUCAGGGGUUCAAAUCCCCUUAUCUCCA